AAACGUAGGUCACAAGCGUUGUCCGGAAUUACUGGGUGUAAAGGGAGCGCAGGCGGGAAGACAAGUUGGAAGUGAAAUCCAUGGGCUCAACCCAUGAACUGCUCUCAAAACUGUUUUUCUUGAGUAGUGCAGAGGUAGGCGGAAUUCCCGGUGUAGCGGUGGAAUGCGUAGAUAUCGGGAGGAACACCAGUGGCGAAGGCGGCCUACUGGGCACCAACUGACGCUGAGGCUCGAAAGUGUGGGUAGCAAACAGGAUUAGAUACCCUGGUAGUCCACACUGUAAACGAUGAUUACUAGGUGUUGGAGGAUUGACCCCUUCAGUGCUGCAGUUAACACAAUAAGUAAUCCACCUGGGGAGUACGACCGCAAGGUUGAAAACUCAAAGGAAUUGACGGGGGCCCGCACAAGCAGUGGAGUAUGUGGUUUAAUUCGACGCAACGCGAAGAACCUUACCAAGUCUUGACAUCCUGCGACGCACAUAGAAAUAUGUGUUUCCUUCGGGACGCAGAGACAGGUGGUGCAUGGUUGUCGUCAGCUCGUGUCGUGAGAUGUUGGGUUAAGUCCCGCAACGAGCGCAACCCUUAUGGUCAGUUACUACGCAAGAGGACUCUGGCCAGACUGCCGUUGACAAAACGGAGGAAGGUGGGGAUGACGUCAAAUCAUCAUGCCCUUUAUGACUUGGGCUACACACGUACUACAGUGGCGUUAAACAAAGAGAAGCAAGACCGCGAGGUGGAGCAAAACUCAGAAACAACGUCCCAGUUCGGACUGCAGGCUGCAACUUGCCUGCACGAAGUCGGAAUUGCUAGUAAUCGCAGAUCAGCAUGCUGCGGUGAAUACGUUCCCGGGCCUUGUACACACCGCCCGUCACACCAUGAGAGCCGGGGGGACCCGAAGUCGGUAGUCUAACCGCAAGGAGGACGCCGCCGAAGGUAAAACUGGUGAUUGGGGUG
rnacentral:rRNA from 1 species